CUCAGUGUCUGCAAAGUGCCCACGUAACCAACAGACAUGGCCGAUGAAGGACAAACGCCACGAUAUUCCUCUGCGUCUGGCGGCAGCAACCAAGUAGUUCAGGAAACAAACGAGGCAAGCUCGACUCAGGACAAUGCCAGUUCCGACAAGGAAUGGAAUGACAUGCUGAACGAUUGGUACGAGCAGACCAUUGGCAGCCCUCGAAUUGCGCCGGCACGUUCGGAUGUCCCAUUAUGAUGUCGCCAGUUUACAGCCUUCGGCCUCCAGCGGCGACGACUCAAUCGCAACACUCGAAUCU
rnacentral:lncRNA from 1 species